AUUGAACGCUGGCGGCAGGCCUAACACAUGCAAGUCGAGCGGAUGAAGGGAGCUUGCUCCUGGAUUCAGCGGCGGACGGGUGAGUAAUGCCUAGGAAUCUGCCUGGUAGUGGGGGAUAACGUCCGGAAACGGGCGCUAAUACCGCAUACGUCCUGAGGGAGAAAGUGGGGGAUCUUCGGACCUCACGCUAUCAGAUGAGCCUAGGUCGGAUUAGCUAGUUGGUGGGGUAAAGGCCUACCAAGGCGACGAUCCGUAACUGGUCUGAGAGGAUGAUCAGUCACACUGGAACUGAGACACGGUCCAGACUCCUACGGGAGGCAGCAGUGGGGAAUAUAGGACAAUGGGCGAAAGCCUGAUCCAGCCAUGCCGCGUGUGUGAAGAAGGUCUUCGGAUUGUAAAGCACUUUAAGUUGGGAGGAAGGGCAGUAAGUUAAUACCUUGCUGUUUUGACGUUACCUACAGAAUAAGCACCGGCUAACUUCGUG
rnacentral:rRNA from 1 species